CCAAACAGACAAGUUGCUUCCACCCCAAGUGGUGUGUGACGAUAUCCGGUUGCUGUCGAUAGUUUAAGAUAUAUUGUUUGUGGAAGAACUUGUAUCCUUUAUUUAGUUUAGAUCUCUUGUCUGGGAAUGUUUGUGAAUGAUAUUAGCUACAUCACUCAUGCCAAACUUUGGCAAAUUGAGCAGUGACUGGGAAAACUCCAUGUUCAAAUUUCAUGGAACACUACAAAGAUCACAUUGCAAGCAUCCAAGCGGUCCGUCAUCAUAAUCAGCUUUUCCUGUUCAUGUGCAGCUGGGAGAGCUUUGUGCAAUCAUCUGGUGGCUCUACUCUUCCAGACUGCACAUUACACCACAAUGGGCUGAAGACCGUGCCACAACCAUUGCCUUGCACAGGGGUAUUGCAUUUGUGGCACAGGCCAAUGACUUGGGGUAUUUGACUAGAGCCCACUGAUGAAAUGGUUUUGACUCCCUGGUUGAUUUAACAGAUCAAGGGCUCAGGUCACUUGACCAAGGUAAACUUGUGGUCGUUUCUCUAUUUUAGUGCUACAUUUGAUCAUGAUAUAAUGUUAAUGAAAUUGUGUCACUAUGGAUUUGAUAACACCUCAUUGAGAUGGUUACAGUGUUGUCAUCAGAGAGUAGUUUACAUUCAUAAAUUGUGCCUAUUCUGAACCUCAUUCUGUAUGCUGUGGUGUCCCACAAGGCAGCUGCCUAGGACCUCUUAUGCACUUGCUGUAUAAAAAUGAUCUCCCUCUGGUGCUCUCCAAUUCUAUGGCAACCAUGUUUUCUGACGAUACCACUGUCUAUGUAACAGGCAAUUCCACGGGACAGCUAAAAGAGGCUCUUGAAGUUGACGUAAGUAUUUCAAAUUGGAUAACCAAAAACAAAUUAGAGCCAAAUACAAAGAAAACCAAGGCAAAGCUAAUAUGUAUGAAGAGGAAAAGGAAGAAACUACCCUCCUUACAGCUGACAGUUGGCGGGAC
rnacentral:lncRNA from 1 species